GACGAACGCUGGGCGGCGUGGAUUAGGCAUGCAAGUCGAACGGUAUCAUCCUUUCGGGGGUGAGAGAGUGGCGAACUGGUGAGUAACACGUAGGUUAUCUACCCUCAAGACGGGGACAACCCAGGGAAACUUGGGCUAAUACCGGAUGUGAGCAACUUUUAGUUGUUUGAAAGGUGGCGUAAGCUGUCGCUUGGGGAUGAGCCUGCGUCCUAUUAGUUAGUUGGUGAGGUAACGGCUCACCUAGGCAAUGAUAGGUAGGCGGCCUUAACGGGUAGUCGCCCACACUGGGAUUGAGAUACGGCCCAGACUCCUACGGGAGGCAGCAGUCGAGAAUAGUCUACAAUGGUCGGAAGACUGAUAGUGCGACGCCGCGUGAACGAUGAAUCCCUUCGGGGUGUAAAGUUCUUUUAUAUGGGAUGAGGAAGGACAGUACCAUAUGAAUAAGUCUCGGCUAACUACGUG
rnacentral:rRNA from 1 species